rfam:Gossypium raimondii Chr06_contig_346, whole genome shotgun sequence.
AAACCAUGCAUCGGGAAUUUUCUAAUUAGUUCCUUGAAAUGCUCCCAUGCUUCAUAUAAUGUUUCAUCUUCCAAUUGCCCAAACGAUGUAAUGUCAUUCCUAAGCUU